rnacentral:lncRNA from 1 species
CCGCCUCCCGGGUUCACGCCAUCUUGCCACUAAACCUGAUUUACCAACAUAACCUGUUUCUGGCCAUGCUGUGAAUCUGCAUUCUUUACUGUGUCCUUGGGAUACUAGGAGGAACCAGAGGAGCAGAUCCUGCUAGGAGGCUAAGCAUGAAGAAGGAAUUCAAAGAAACCUUGUGGAGAACGAAGACACAGCAGGGAGUCUCUGAUCAAGUGCCACAUCUUUAGAGAAGCUUUUCCAAACAACCGAUUAUGAAGUACACAUUAACAAUGAAGCCUCUUUUCAAGUAAAGAAGUGAGUAACUCUGGUAACCACCAAUCUACACUCUAUUUUCAUGAGAUCCAGUUUUAUAGCUCCCACAUGCCUUCAAGCUCCAGAUAAUCCUCAGUGAGGUAUACUGUCCGCUCAAUAUCCAAGAGUCACCCUUCUACAAGGGACCUCUAGACUGCCCAUAAGUGAGACAUGACAGAGGUAAAGUCAUGCUCCUGUCUCCCUUGGACCUGGCUGGAAACUGCAUUCAUCAACCCAUGGAACCACCCCCCUGCCAUGAAAGCUAGCAAGAGGCCAAGACCCACAGAACAACCACCAUCAUCCCUCUGUCAGCAGGAAGCGGUUACAAAAGACUAACCUUUGCCCAUUUUCCCCAAAGAAUUGGGGUCUUGGAAUCUUGAGGGAGGAAAUGUUACAGUAGGUAGCUAGUCAGACAUGAGCAGAGCAGAAGAGGGCUUACACACACACACACACACACACACACACACACCCCACACACAAAGAAUCCUGGGCAACCAUCAGGCGAUUGUAAGGUGGUUGUUAACUGUGUCUCUAAAAUAACGAUUGGUCACAACCAGUGCAAUGGAAAGGCAGUCUCUCAAUAAACAGAAACACCUGGAGCUGAUGAUCAGCAGCUUCCUGAUCAGGUCUCAGAAGUUUGGCAAGCUGGCCUACACAUGCGCACUAAGAGGCAAAAUGGCACAGUUUAACUGGUAUAUGACUUCCAAUGGACAUUCAGCAUGUAAGGGAAAAAUGCCUCAAGUAAGCAUGCAUACAACUCCACUAAACACACUGUGCAUGCUCCCCUCUCAAGUGCUGGCAGGCCAGUGCACAUGGGGACAGCCCACCCCAAAGAAAGUCUCAAGGGUGUAGGGAUGCAAGACCCCGGGAAUAUGCCAAUGUAUUAAACCCUAAGUCAAAAGGUCAAAUCAUGCACUUGUCUUUCAAGUCACCCACUUGACCCUCUUCCAAGUGUACUUUCCUUCCUUUUGUUACUACUCUAAAGCUUUUUAAUAAAUUUUCACUUUUUGAAUUCUUGUCUGCAACUUAGACUAACCUUGCUUGUUUCUCUGAACCAACCAGUGAUCUCUGGCUCGACUCAGAAGCAACAAAUAGAUGGGUAACUUUUCAGACAUGAAUUGGAAUAAGAUAAGGCCAACUUGCUCAACUACAUUCCUUACUAAAACAUAAUAACUAAAAGCUACAGUGUGCAUUUCAUGUUUCACAUGUUCUGUUGCAGUGCCAAGACUAGGUUUAAGCAAUUCAGCUGCACAGUUACCAACCACUUCUUCUUGGAAGAUUUACCUACAAUCUAACUGAUAUACUUAACAAAAUUAUAUUUUUAAUAUUGAUUGUACAAUUUUUUACUCCUUAAUUGUAUCUGACAGCUUCUUAUACUUUAAACUUGAUCAACAGUAAAUUGUGAAGAGAGUAACUAUACACCACAUGGCUUGACAAUAUCCAAACAUCAUUCUUGUUCUACAAAAGUUACAAAUGGU